GUCUCUGUGGACUAUGGCAGUCACCUCAGCUCGGUCCAGGUCUGUUUGGCAUCGAUGCAUGUAAUGAGGAGACGGGGGUUCGAUUCCCUCCUGAGGCG